UUUAGUAACACUUGAGUCAUUACUAGUAGAAUACUGAAGAAUGGGAUGUCACCACUUCUUUUUCUGUCUGUUGAGAAAAAGCAACACCAGUGACUGAUCACAUCUUCUUUUCAUCAGUUAGGAGUUCCUCAGCCUCCACGUCUCAUGACCUGACUGCAUCAUCGAGGCCUCAAGAAAAAAAUUUGACUGCACAUACAAUAUGAAUCAAUUACAGAUUUAACUUUACAUACAGCAAAAGACACUGCAUCUAUUUGAGUAUAAUUGGUUAAUCCAGGAUGGACCUAAAAAAAAAAAACACUGUCUCUCAAAAUAUUUAACCUUACAGUUCAUUCAACAUUGUUAACACAGCUAUGAAGAUAUUUUCAUUCGAUCUUCACACUGUAUAGUCAGAAGGAUUAUCACAAAAGUAUUUGGGAAAUGAAAGUUUCCUAUAGUCUGUUUAAAGCUGUUUUGUAUUG